ensembl:lncRNA
UUAUUUUUGCUCUGAGAAGUACCAGCCACAGGGUACUUUCUCUGCAGGCAGCCGCCACCCCCUGCUGUGUUUACAUAAAAACACAUUUGCACAGGGUUUUGUUUUUACAUUUGCCUCAGAGGCCUGGAGUCUAUUAAAUGUGGGGAGGCCUGAUGAUCUGGCUGGAAGCAGCUGAUGGGAGAGGGCAGGCUGAAGGAAGAUGCUCUAGGCCUGCAUUUCCUCCCAGUCCCAGGGAGCCCUGGGUCUCUCUGCAGAGGGGAUAAAAGGGCUCACUGAACUCUCUUGUGCAUGUGCCCGGCAUUUCUCAACCUCAGCCCCACUGACAUUUGGGGCUGCGUGAUUUAUUGUUGAGGGGGGCUGCUCUGUAUACCGCAGAAGCAUCCCUGGCUUCUGCCUACCAGCAUCCUUCCACCAGUUGAGAUGAUCAAAAACAUCUUCAGUCGCUCAGUCGUGUCUUUGUGACCCCACGGACUGCAGCACACCAGGCUUCCCUGUCCAUCACCAGCUCCCGGAGUUUGCCAAGUGUCUCCUGCAGGGCAAAAUCGCCCCCACUUGAGAACCACUGGCACACACACGAAGAUACACACACGAAAGCUCAGCUCAGGAACUCUCCGCCUUUCAACGCCCACCUGAAACAAGCGCUGACGCUGUCUCCCGCACCUCUGCAUCCCUGGCUCUUUCCCCAGUGCCUGGCGUGCAACGUUUGAGAGGCUCAAAGGCGUUCUGUGGCAUGAGCAGACCAUGGCGGCACGACUGAUACCGACGGCCACCGGUUUCCGCGGCUGGGAGGGCACUGUCCGGCAUUCGGACUCUGGCCACCAUGCAGGUUUGCACCAUGUGCCAGGCUGUUCCCACAUCACCUCACCCGGCCCACAGAUUGAGGCCCAUGACUGUCUCCAUUUUCCAUAUGCAGAAACUGAGGCUCUGAAAGAUGAACUACCUUGCCUAGUAUCACACAACUAGCCAACGAUGGAUUCGAUUAUAGACCCUUUCUCACAAGGAGGUUGUGAGGAUGCAAUGAAUUAGUAAAAUAAAUGGAAGCACUUCAAAGAGGGCUGGGU